AUUGAACGCUGGCGGCACGCCUAACACAUGCAAGUCGAGCGGCAGCGUGCUUAGUAGCAAUACUAAGUGAUGGCGAGCGGCGGACGGGUGAGGAACACGUAGGAACAUACCCAGAAGCGGGGGACAACUAAGGGAAACUUUAGCUAAUACCGCGUAACCUCGAGAGAGGAAAGCUACCCGCAAGGGCGGCGCUUUUGGAGUGGCCUGCGUCCGAUUAGCUAGUUGGUAGGGUAAAAGCCUACUAAGGCAAUGAUCGGUAACUGGUCUGAGAGGACGACCAGUCACACUGGGACUGAGACACGGCCCAGACUCCUACGGGAGGCAGCAGUGGGGAAUAUUGGACUAUGGGGGCAACCCUGAUCCAGCGAUGCCGCGUGGGUGAAGAAGGCCUUCGGGUUGUAAAGCCCUUUAGGUUGGGACGAAGGAUGGCAGUUUAAGAGAUAGCCAUUUUGACGGUACCGACAGGAUAAGCACCGGCAAACUCUGUGCCAGCAGCCGCAGUAA
rnacentral:rRNA from 1 species